GCCAGUGUGGUGUAGUGGUUUGAGCAUUAGACUAUGACUCUGGAGAUCAGGGUUUGAGUCCCAGCUGGGCCA
rnacentral:tRNA from 1 species